rnacentral:tRNA from 1 species
GGGGCUUUAGCUCAGUGGUGGAGCGUUUGCCUAGCAAGCGCAAGGCCCUGGGUUCGGUCCCCAGCUCCG